GAUGAACGCUGGCGGCGUGCCUAAUACAUGCAAGUCGAGCGAACAGAUGAGGAGCUUGCUCCUCUGACGUUAGCGGCGGACGGGUGAGUAACACGUGGAUAACCUACCUAUAAGACUGGGAUAACUUCGGGAAACCGGAGCUAAUACCGGAUAAUAUAUUGAACCGCAUGGUUCAAUAGUGAAAGACGGUUUUGCUGUCACUUAUAGAUGGAUCCGCGCCGCAUUAGCUAGUUGGUAAGGUAACGGCUUACCAAGGCAACGAUGCGUAGCCGACCUGAGAGGGUGAUCGGCCACACUGGAACUGAGACACGGUCCAGACUCCUACGGGAGGCAGCAGUAGGGAAUCUUCCGCAAUGGGCGAAAGCCUGACGGAGCAACGCCGCGUGAGUGAUGAAGGUCUUCGGAUCGUAAAGCUCUGUUAUUAGGGAAGAACAAAUGUGUAAGUAACUAUGCACGUCUUGACGGUACCUAAUCAGAAAGCCACGGCUAACUACGUG
rnacentral:rRNA from 1 species